rnacentral:tRNA from 1 species
GGGGCUGCGGCUCAGAGUUAGAGCGCUCGCCUAGCAUGCGUGAGGCCCUGGGUUCGAUCCUCAGCACCACA